GUGCUCUCUUCAGCAGCACCUAUAAUAAAAUCGGAAGAGACAGAGAAGUGAGCAUGGUCCCUGCAUAAGAGUGGGAUGCAAAUUUGUGAAGCAUUCCCUAUUUUC
ensembl:snRNA U6 U6 spliceosomal RNA